GAGGAAAAGAAAAUAACCAUGAUUCCCUCAGUAACGGCGAGUGAAGCGGGAAAAGCUCAAAUUUGAAAUCUGUCAACAUUUCUUUUGUUGUCCGAGUUGUAAUUUCAAGAAGCUGCUUUGAGUGUAGACGAUCGGUCUAAGUUCCUUGGAACAGGACGUCAGAGAGGGUGAGAACCCCGUCUUUGGUCGAUUGGAUAUGCCAUAUAAAGCGCUUUCGAAGAGUCGAGUUGUUUGGGAAUGCAGCUCUAAAUGGGUGGUAAAUUUCAUCUAAAGCUAAAUAUUGGCGAGAGACCGAUAGCGAACAAGUAGAGUGAUCGAAAGAUGAAAAGAACUUUGAAAAGAGAGUUAAAUAGUACGUGAAAUUGCUGAAAGGGAAGCAUUGGAAAUCAGUCUUACCUGGGUGAGAUCAGUAGUCUCUUCGCGAGACUAUGCACUCUGAACCUGUGGUAGGUCAGCAUCAGUUUUCGGGGGCGGAAAAAGAAUAAGGGAAGGUGGCUUUCCGGGUUCUGCCUGGGGAGUGUUUAUAGCCCUUGUUGUAAUACGUCCACUGGGGACUGAGGACUGCGGCUUCGUGCCAAGGA
rnacentral:rRNA from 1 species